UACGUAGGGGGCAAGCGUUAUCCGGAUUUACUGGGUGUAAAGGGAGCGCAGACGGCAGUGCAAGUCUGAUGUGAAAGCCCGGGGCUCAACCCCGGAACUGCAUUGGAAACUGUACAGCUUGAGUGUCGGAGAGGUAAGCGGAAUUCCUAGUGUAGCGGUGAAAUGCGUAGAUAUUAGGAGGAACACCGGUGGAGAAGGCGGAUUACCGGACGAUUACUGACGUUGAGGCUCGAAAGCGUGGGGAGCAAACAGGAUUAGAUACCCUGGUAGUCCCUGA
rnacentral:rRNA from 1 species